rnacentral:rRNA from 1 species
GACGAACGCUGGCGGCGUGCCUAAUACAUGCAAGUAGAACGCUGAAGGAGGAGCUUGCUUCUCUGGAUGAGUUGCGAACGGGUGAGUAACGCGUAGGUAACCUGCCUGGUAGCGGGGGAUAACUAUUGGAAACGAUAGCUAAUACCGCAUAAUAGCAGUUAUUGCAUGAUAACUGUUUGAAAGGUGCAAUUGCACCACUACCAGAUGAGCCUGCGUUGUAUUAGCUAGUUGGUGGGGUAACGGCUCACCAAGGCGACGAUACAUAGCCGACCUGAGAGGGUGAUCGGCCACACUGGGACUGAGACACGGCCCAGACUCCUACGGGAGGCAGCAGUAGGGAAUCUUCGGCAAUGGACGGAAGUCUGACCGAGCAACGCCGCGUGAGUGAAGAAGGUUUUCGGAUCGUAAAGCUCUGUUGUAAGAGAAGAACGAGUGUGAGAGUGGAAAGUUCACACUGUGACGGUAUCUUACCAGAAAGGGACGGCUAACUACGU